UUUAUCGGAGAGUUUGAUCCUGGCUCAGGACGAACGCUGGCGGCGUGCCUAAUACAUGCAAGUCGAGCGGACAGAUGGGAGCUUGCUCCCUGAUGUUAGCGGCGGACGGGUGAGUAACACGUGGGUAACCUGCCUGUAAGACUGGGAUAACUCCGGGAAACCGGGGCUAAUACCGGAUGGUUGUCUGAACCGCAUGGUUCAGACAUAAAAGGUGGCUUCGGCUACCACUUACAGAUGGACCCGCGGCGCAUUAGCUAGUUGGUGAGGUAACGGCUCACCAAGGCGACGAUGCGUAGCCGACCUGAGAGGGUGAUCGGCCACACUGGGACUGAGACACGGCCCAGACUCCUACGGGAGGCAGCAGUAGGGAAUCUUCCGCAAUGGACGAAAGUCUGACGGAGCAACGCCGCGUGAGUGAUGAAGGUUUUCGGAUCGUAAAGCUCUGUUGUUAGGGAAGAACAAGUGCCGUUCAAAUAGG
rnacentral:rRNA from 1 species